GGUUGAACUCGCAGGCCUUCUUCUCAACAACAACAACAAGCAUCUCCAUUAGCCCACAAGGAGCCGAGACCAUGUCCGCCAAUUACACACCUCGUUCUAGAGCUGCGCUUCCGUCACGAAAUACUCCCAACCAGCAACCUCGAAGCAGCAGAUCUGCCCGCCUCUCUGAUGCCCAUGGAGGAAGCAGUCGGAGACAGGACCAAUCCACCCGCGGCACCCUUCUCCAGCCACCUCCUUACCAGCCCCAAGUCGCACCCUUCAAUGCCAGCGCGCUACACAAACUAAGCCAGCUGUCACGCUUUCCACGCCUGGCGGCAUUGCAGUCGCGACUCACUUCUGCCGCGCAGGCGCUGACGGAGUGUGCGGGGAUGAUCAAUGAUCGGCUCGUAGAUGCGAAGGCACGGCAGGCGAAGAGGGCGGGGAUGAAGAGGAAAGCUGCAGAUGUGGAGAAUGAGGAGGUAGCAGAGCGGGGUGAUGGGGAGGGUGACGAGGCCAGUAAUAAGCUUGUUGAUUUGGAGAAGCGCGUGAAGACGGUGACGGACCAGUUGGAGGAGAAGAUGCGCAAAAUUGUCGAUGCGGAGGUCCGAACCGUUUCGUUGACGGAUGGGUUGAUUCAGAUCCACCGGGAUGCGGCUAUGGUGGUACCUGCUGCGCCGCACGCGAAGCGGAGGAAGAUGAGAAGGAGGCCAGGGGAAGAGAAUGAGGAAGAGGAAGAUGAGGGUGAAGGUGAAGGUGAAGAGAAGCUAGCUGUCGAGGAGCCUCUCUACAUACGAAGUGGUGGAACGUGCAAAGUGCUACGGAAGGAACUGAAGGAGAAGAAGGCUCAAUGGAAAGGGACGUCGUUGACGGAUCGCUACACAACCAACGACAAAUACAUUGGAUUCUACCGCAUAGUGCACGAAUCAAAGUAUCCUGGCGAUGAGAUCCCGCCCCUCCCGCACCCGUCCACUUGGUUCGCAGACGUUGAGCAGCCUACCACGGCUUCCCUUAGCGAAGUUACGACCACCAAUGCCACCGGCGGUACGAAUGGCGGAAACGCAGGAUCAACAGUAGACGACUCCGACGACCUAGCUAUCCAUAGCGAACGAGCCUCUCUCUGCUGUCCAAUAACCCUCCUCCCCUUCACAGAGCCUGUUAAAAGCAAGAAAUGCCCUCAUAGCUUUGAGCGGCGAGCGAUCGUCGCGAUGAUUGAGCGGAGUAAGAAACGUAUCGUUAUUCCUGCUAAUGGUACUAAUGGUGCUGGUCCGGCUGGCAAGCGUGUUGGAUGCGUGGACUGCCCUGUUUGCUCAGUGCCGAUUUCAAUGCAUGAUCUUGAAGUGGAUGUUGUUGCUGUGAGAAGGCUGAGAAGAGCGGAGGAGAGGAGGCGGAUGGAGGAAGAGGAGGAAGGCGGUGAGGAUAGGGAGGGUGAAGAUGUUUAUGGCGAUGGUGACGAGAAGGAGAUUGCUAUGGGCAGCGUGGGAAGGA
rnacentral:sRNA from 1 species